ACUGCUUAUUGUUAAGCCUCGUAUUUCAUGUUUUUGCACCUCGUUAGGAAUAUAUCGAUGUGACUCAGCAUUCCACGGUGUCACAAGCGCUCCAAGCCUCCACCACAAAACUCUUACUAAUUAACCAUGACAGGAAUUAUAAAAACGUCAAAAAAACCCACUUGUCUAAUGUUAUCAGCUGAGGUGGAGGCAGCCUUCCCCAUUUCUCCGCCAAUAUCUGCUUCAUUUCUCACUUAUUGUUAAGCCUAACACGUCACUAAGUGGAGCCACAUGACUAGGCUUUCAUAUCCGCUAGCUAGAUAUAUCCGCCAUUGCCUCAUUUAGUUACGAUGGAAGAAUAACAGGCAAAAUAGCGGCCGUUCUCUCCACUGUCAAGGGCCGCCAUGAUGCCUGGCUACCUCUGCCAACCUGCUUCAACCUGUGGGUUCCAAUAUUUUUUUGUUAUUUUUCUUAACUUCUUUAUUUUGCUGGUAUAGCAUGUUUUUAUGGUUUAUAAAAAUAAUUAUUUGCUUUAGAAGUGUUUUCGUUGCUUGUGUUGAGUUGUGUUCAAUUUUGUGUUGCUUGACGAAAAUGAGGGGGGUUUUUUUGGCAGUAUUUUGACAAACUUGUUUUUUUAUUUCACGCUCUAAUUACGUCUUUUGUAUUUCUAAAAAUUGCUUAUGAUUUUUAAAGUGUUUUUUCGUUCCUGUUGAGAGAAAUAAGUGGACUUUAAAAAUGGUUUAUGGUCCUGUUAAAAGUUGUGAUUACAACACUUUUUGUGUUAUUGUCUCUCUAUUUCAGCUUGUAACUAACUUUUCAUUGCUUGAAAAAAUAGUUUGUAUGUUUUAAAGUGUUUUAUCUUGUUGUUGAGUCAAAAUGGGUGGACUUUGCAGUGGUUUUUAAUCGUAUUUAGGUUCCAACACGUAUUUUUUACACAAUUUCGGUUUUAUUUGUUUAUUCUUGUUCCAGGUAACUUUUGAUGGUGUAAGAUGAUAGUUCAGAUUUUUUAAAAUUUUUUACGUUCCUAAAAAUUCAAAUGUUGUGGACUUUUCAAUGAUUUAAAUUGUGCCGAAUAUUUCAACCUUUUUUCCAUAUUUCAUUUGGAUAUUUUUUAAAUACUACUCAGGCUGGAGCUGUUAUAAUAUUGUGAAUAUUUUUUUAAGUAUUUGUCAAGUCAGAAUAUAUAAGGCAUUCCAGCCUAGCUCCAUUUUUUCGAGGGGUCAAUUUCAAAAUGAAUUCCGUUACGGUACGUAAAUUAGCCGUGACGUCACGGCCGCCAUCAUGGACCCGGGACCUUGAUCGGCUCCGCUGUCUCCUCGGACCAGACUAUCCCAGGAUGAUGAAAAUGGAAGUUCUCAGUCUUAUAGGUCCUCUCAAGAAUCACAAUCAACUGCAAGUGGGAAGAGGAAGAGAAGAGGAGGAGGAGGAGGAGGAGGGAAGAGGAAGAGGAAUGAUAAUUCUUCCUAUCAAAUUACUGAUGUUAUUGAUGAAGAUACAGUCAAGAGGCACGCAGAAGGGGUGAAGAAGCCGCAAGAGGAGAUGACAAGAGUGGCGCAACCUAAGCUUUUCCGAAAUGGAGUCUUGAGAAGUUACCAGCUAGAUGGGUUUUCUUGGUUACUGACACUUUACAAGAACGGGAUCAACGGCAUUCUGGGAGAUGAGAUGGGCCUGGGCAAGACUGUCCAGUUUAUCGCCUUGGUGUGUCAUUUGGUGGAGCAGGGAGUGGCCGGGCCCUUCCUGGUGUGUGCCCCGCUCUCCACGCUGCCAAACUGGAUGGCUGAAUUCCCACUCUGCUGUACCACGGGUCAGAGAGUGAGAGAGUGGAGAAGAGGGAGGUGAUCCGAAAGGCUGUGGAAAUAGAAGGGUGUCCUGUCCAAGUCCUGCCUGUUGUUAUUACUUCCUACGAGCUGCAGGCACAAGACAACAGCGGCUCAACAAGGUGAAGACAAACACGAGCACACAACUAACUACUAUUGUCGUGCAUCAACAGCUUAAGACACAUGAGAUGAGGUUACAAUACCCACUGUGCAAUCAGUGAUAAAGUUACAAAAGUAGCUUAGGCUCCAGUUACAAGUUAAGAAUGAAAGGACUGUAGUCCCCUCACUCCACCCCUUUUCAGUCACCCUUUACAAUGAGCAAGAAAUAAGAUGGCAAUAUUUUCCUAUCCUGGCCACAGAGGGUGUGACAAGGCUGCAUCCCUACUACACCAGUUUUUAACCUACUAGAAUGUCAUUUCAACUUGGCUACAAUUGUGCCAUUUCACCUGUAUCACCCUGUACUACUGACAUGUUCUGUUCUACACAUGAGAACUUGCAGUGCUGGAGGAACUUAGUUGGUCACAUUACACGAGAUUAGACUGAUAUCAGUCAAAGUUGUGUCUAUGAAUCUCUAUCACCACUAAAAAAAAAAAA